rnacentral:rRNA from 1 species
AGUGAACGCUGGCGGUAGGCCUAACACAUGCAAGUCGAACGGCAGCACAGUAAGAGCUUGCUCUUACGGGUGGCGAGUGGCGGACGGGUGAGGAAUACAUCGGAAUCUACUUUUUCGUGGGGGAUAACGGAGGGAAACUUACGCUAAUACCGCAUACGACCUACGGGUGAAAGCAGUGGAUCUUCGGACCUUGCGCGAUUGAAUGAGCCGAUGUCGGAUUAGCUAGUUGGCGGGGUAAAGGCCCACCAAGGCGACGAUCCGUAGCUGGUCUGAGAGGAGGGUCAGCCACACUUGAACUGGAAACAGGGCCCGGCUCCUAAGGGAGGCAACAGUGGGGAAUAUUGGAGAAUGGGGGGAAAGCUGGACCAACCAUCGCGCGGGGGUGGAGGAGGGUCUCGGGUUGUAAAGCCCUUUUGUUGGGAAAGAAACGAAGGAGGAUGAUACCAUGCUGUUCUGAAGGUACCCAAAGCAGAAGCACCGGCUAACUUAGUG